rnacentral:rRNA from 1 species
UCCGGAAUAUUGGACAAUGGGCGAAAGCCUGAUCCAGCAACUCCGCGUGAGGGAUGAAGGCCCUCGGGUCGUAAACCUCUGUCAGAAGGGAAGAACUCCCUGAGCCCAAAUAGAGCUUAGGGCUGACGGUACCUUCAAAGGAAGCACCGGCUAACUCCGUGCCAGCAGCCGCGGUAAUACGGAGGGUGCAAGCGUUGUUCGGAAUUAUUGGGCGUAAAGCGGGUGUAGGCGGCUUUGCAAGUCAGAUGUGAAAUCCCUGGGCCCAACCCAGGAACUGCAUUUGAUACUGCAUCGCUAGAGUCCCGGAGAGGAUGGCGGAAUUCCAGGUGUAGAGGUGAAAUUCGUAGAUAUCUGGAGGAACACCAGUGGCGAAGGCGGCCAUCUGGACGGUGACUGACGCUCAGACCCGAAAGCGUGGGGAGCAAACAGG